rnacentral:rRNA from 1 species
AGUGAAGCGGCAACAGCUCAAAUUUGAAAUCUGGCCCCAGGCCCGAGUUGUAAUUUGCAGAGGAUGCUUUUGGCGCGGUGCCUUCCGAGUUCCCUGGAACGGGACGCCAUAGAGGGUGAGAGCCCCGUACGGUUGGACACCAAGUCUUUGUAAAGCUCCUUCGACGAGUCGAGUAGUUUGGGAAUGCUGCUCAAAAUGGGAGGUAUAUUUCUUCUAAAGCUAAAUAUUGGCCAGAGACCGAUAGCGCACAAGUAGAGUGAUCGAAAGAUGAAAAGCACUUUGAAAAGAGGGUUAAACAGCACGUGAAAUUGUUAAAAGGGAAGCGCUUAUGACCAGACUUGCGCCCGGUGAAUCACCCAGCUCUCGCGGCUGGGGCACUUUGCCGGCUCAGGCCAGCAUCAGCUCGCUGUCGGGGACAAAAGCUUCGGGAACGUAGCUCUCUUCGGGGAGUGUUAUAGCCCGUUGCACAAUACCCUUCGGCGGGCUGAGGUACGCGCUCCGCAAGGAUGCUGGCGUAAUGGUCAUCAGCGAC